rnacentral:rRNA from 1 species
GAUGAACGCUGGCGGCGUGCCUAAUACAUGCAAGUCGAACGAAACCUCUUUAUCACCGCGUGCUUGCACUCACCGAUAAAGAGUUGAGUGGCGAACGGGUGAGUAACACGUGGGCAACCUGCCCAAAAGAGGGGGAUAACACUUGGAAACAGGUGCUAAUACCGCAUAACCAUAGUUACCGCAUGGUAACUAUGUAAAAGGUGGCUAUACUACCGCUUUUGGAUGGGCCCGCGGCGCAUUAGCUAGUUGGUAGGGUAAAGGCUUACCAAGGCAAUGAUGCGUAGCCGAAUUGAGAGGUUGAUCGGCCACAUUGGGACUGAGACACGGCCCAAACUCCUACGGGAGGCAGCAGUAGGGAAUCUUCCACAAUGGGCGAAAGCCUGAUGGAGCAACGCCGCGUGGGUGAAGAAGGUCUUCGGAUCGUAAAACCCUGUUGUUAGAGAAGAAAGUGCGUGAGAGUAACUGUUCACGUUUCGACGGUAUCUAACCAGAAAGCCACGGCUAACUACGUG